rnacentral:rRNA from 1 species
GAAUUCGCCCUUAGAGUUUGAUCCUGGCUCAGGACGAACGCUGGCGGCGCGCCUAACACAUGCAAGUCGAACGAGCGAGAGAGAGCUUGCUUUCUCGAGCGAGUGGCGAACGGGUGAGUAACGCGUGAGGAACCUGCCUCAAAGAGGGGGACAACAGUUGGAAACGACUGCUAAUACCGCAUAAGCCCACGGCUCGGCAUCGAGCAGAGGGAAAAGGAGCAAUCCGCUUUGAGAUGGCCUCGCGUCCGAUUAGCUAGUUGGUGAGGUAAUGGCCCACCAAGGCGACGAUCGGUAGCCGGACUGAGAGGUUGAACGGCCACAUUGGGACUGAGACACGGCCCAGACUCCUACGGGAGGCAGCAGUGGGGAAUAUUGCACAAUGGGGGAAACCCUGAUGCAGCGACGCCGCGUGGAGGAAGAAGGUCUUCGGAUUGUAAACUCCUGUUGUUGGGGAAGAUAAUGACGGUACCCAACAAGGAAGUGACGGCUAACUACGUGCCAGCAGCCGCGGUAAAACGUAGGUCACAAGCGUUGUCCGGAAUUACUGGGUGUAAAGGGAGCGCAGGCGGGAAGACAAGUUGGAAGUGAAAUCUAUGGGCUCAACCCAUAAACUGCUUUCAAAACUGUUUUUCUUGAGUAGUGCAGAGGUAGGCGGAAUUCCCGGUGUAGCGGUGGAAUGCGUAGAUAUCGGGAGGAACACCAGUGGCGAAGGCGGCCUACUGGGCACCAACUGACGCUGAGGCUCGAAAGUGUGGGUAGCAAACAGGAUUAGAUACCCUGGUAGUCCACACCGUAAACGAUGAUUACUAGGUGUUGGAGGAUUGACCCCUUCAGUGCCGCAGUUAACACAAUAAGUAAUCCACCUGGGGAGUACGACCGCAAGGUUGAAACUCAAAGGAAUUGACGGGGGCCCGCACAAGCAGUGGAGUAUGUGGCUUAAUUCGACGCAACGCGAAGAACCUUACCAAGUCUUGACAUCCCUUGACAGGCAUAGAAAUAUGUUUUCUCUUCGGAGCAAGGAGACAGGUGGUGCAUGGUUGUCGUCAGCUCGUGUCGUGAGAUGUUGGGUUAAGUCCCGCAACGAGCGCAACCCUUAUGGUCAGUUACUACGCAAGAGGACUCUGGCCAGACUGCCGUUGACAAAACGGAGGAAGGUGGGGAUGACGUCAAAUCAUCAUGCCCUUUAUGACUUGGGCUACACACGUACUACAAUGGCGUUAAACAAAGAGAAGCAAGACCGCGAGGUGGAGCAAAACUCAGAAACAACGUCCCAGUUCGGACUGCAGGCUGCAACUCGCCUGCACGAAGUCGGAAUUGCUAGUAAUCGUGGAUCAGCAUGCCACGGUGAAUACGUUCCCGGGCCUUGCACACACCGCCCGUCA